AUUGAACGCUAGCGGCAUGCCUAACACAUGCAAGUCGAACGAGUGGCGGACGGGUGAGUAAUGUCUGGGAAACUGCCUGAUGGAGGGGGAUCACUACUGGAAACGGUAGCUAAUACCGCAUCCCAUCAGAUGUGCCCAUAUGGGAUUAGCUAGUAGGUGGGGUAAAGGCCUAACAAGGCGACGAUCCGUAACUGGUCUGAGAGGAUGACCAGCCACACUGGAACUGAGACACGGUCCAGACUCCUACGGGAGGCAGCAGUGGGGAAUAUUGGACAAUGGGCGCAAGCCUGAUGCAGCCAUGCCGCGUGUGUGAAGAAGGUCUUCGGAUUGUAAAGCACUUUAAGCUGGGAGGCGUUACCCACAGAAGAAGCACCGGCUAACUUCGUGCCAGCAGCCGCGGUAAUAC
rnacentral:rRNA from 1 species